AUUGAACGCUGGCGGCAGGCCUAACACAUGCAAGUCGUACGAGUGGCGGACGGGUGAGUAAUGUCUGGGAAACUGCCCGAUGGAGGGGGAUAACUACUGGAAACGGUAGCUAAUACCGCAUACCAUCUGAUGUGCCCAGAUGGGAUUGGCUAGUAGGUGGGGUAAAGGCUCACCUAGGCUACGAUCCCUAGCUGGUCUGAGAGGAUGACCAGCCACACUGGAACUGAGACACGGCCCAGACUCCGACGGGAGGCAGCAGUGGGGAAUCUUCCGCAAUGGACGAAAGUCUGACGGAGCAACGCCGCGUGUAUGAAGAAGGCCUUCGGGUUGUAAAGUACUUUCAGCGGGGAGGCGUUACCCGCAGAAGAAGCACCGGCUAACUCCGUGCCAGCAGCCGCGGUAAUAC
rnacentral:rRNA from 1 species